GAUGAACGCUGGCGGCGUGCCUAAUACAUGCAAGUCGAGCGAACGGACGAGAAGCUUGCUUCUCUGAUGUUAGCGGCGGACGGGUGAGUAACACGUGGAUAACCUACCUAUAAGACUGGGAUAACUUCGGGAAACCGGAGCUAAUACCGGAUAAUAUUUUGAACCGCAUGGUUCAAAAGUGAAAGACGGUCUUGCUGUCACUUAUAGAUGGAUCCGCGCUGCAUUAGCUAGUUGGUAAGGUAACGGCUUACCAAGGCAACGAUGCAUAGCCGACCUGAGAGGGGGAGAGGCCAAAAUGGAACUGAGAAAAGGUCAAGACUAGGAAGGGAGGAAGAAGGAGGGAAUAUGAAGAAAUGGGCGAAAGCAUGAAAGAGCAAAGAAGGGGGAGUGAUGAAGGGCUUAGAAGCGUAAAACUCUGGGAUUAGGGAAGAAAAAAGGGGGAAGUAAAUAGGGACGUCUUGAAGGUAAAAAAUAAGAAAGACACGGCUAACGACGUG
rnacentral:rRNA from 1 species